ensembl:lncRNA
GCCAUAGAGCUGCAGAGGAGAGACUGCAGGUAGAGGCCCGAUGCUCCUUUUCCUCUGUGUGUGUUUAUCGCGCGCUCUUUGGGAGGAUUUUGAAGCUGACACCAUGUGAUCUGAUGCCAUUGGAAGGCCAAUGAGAAACGAGACGGGCACAGAAGGUAAAGGUAAAAGCAAAGCUUUUUCCUCUGGAGGACUCAUUAAAGCAGGCCGCCUCUGUGUGCUUCUGAGCUGCCCUCUAAUCCACGACCACAGCUUCACAGAGCCGACACACUUUCCCCCACCUAUACAUGCAGGAUUGCUUUGGAGUACUAGAUGGGAGGAUGGAUGGAUGGAUGGAUGGAUGGAUGGA